AGCGAACGUUAGCGGCGGGCCUAACACAUGCAAGUCGAGCGAGAAAGUGGCUUCGGCCACGAGUAAAGCGGCGGACGGGUGAGUAACACGUAGGUAAUCUUCCCUUGAGCGGGGGACAACGAGCCGAAAGGCUCGCUAAUACCGCAUACGUUUCCAGAGGCCCCGGUCCCUGGCAGGAAAGCUAAGCCGCAAGGUCUGGCACCCGAGGAGGAGCCGGCGUCGCAUCAGCUAGUUGGUGGGGUAACGGGCUACCAAGGCGAAGACGCGUAGCUGGUCUGAGAGGAUGAUCAGCCACACUGGGACUGAGACACGGCCCAGACUCCUACGGGAGGCAGCAGUGGGGAAUAUUGGACAAUGGGCGCAAGCCUGAUCCAGCCACGCCGCGUGAGUGAUGAAGGCCUUCGGGUCGUAAAGCUCUGUGGGGAGGGACGAACCGCUGCACGUUCAUAGCGUGCAGCAUGACGGUACCUCCUUAGCAAGCACCGGCUAACUUCGUGCCAGCAGCCGCCGUAA
rnacentral:rRNA from 1 species